GACGAACGCUGGCGGCGUGCCUAAUACAUGCAAGUAGGACGCACAGUUUAUACCGUAGCUUGCUACACCAUAGACUGUGAGUUGCGAACGGGUGAGUAACGCGUAGGUAACCUGCCUAUUAGAGGGGGAUAACUAUUGGAAACGAUAGCUAAUACCGCAUAACAGUAUGUAACACAUGUUAGAUGCUUGAAAGAUGCAAUUGCAUCGCUAGUAGAUGGACCUGCGUUGUAUUAGCUAGUAGGUAGGGUAAUGGCCUACCUAGGCGACGAUACAUAGCCGACCUGAGAGGGUGAUCGGCCACACUGGGACUGAGACACGGCCCAGACUCCUACGGGAGGCAGCAGUAGGGAAUCUUCGGCAAUGGGGGGAACCCUGACCGAGCAACGCCGCGUGAGUGAAGAAGGUUUUCGGAUCGUAAAGCUCUGUUGUUAAGGAAGAAACGAGUGUGAGAAAUGGAA
rnacentral:rRNA from 1 species